rnacentral:lncRNA from 1 species
GAGGGUCAGCAGGUGUCCUUUCCCGGAUGGUAAACCAGCUGGUAGCUGUAGGCCGCAAGUCUCAAGGCCCAGCGUACCACUCGAGGUGAUGCCUGCAUGGGAACAGCCUUGUUCGGCUCCAGCAGACCCAGCAGUGGCUUGUGGUCCGUGACCACCUCAAAUU